rnacentral:ncRNA from 1 species
CGCCCGGGAGAGGCCGCAGAAUCUGCGGCGCCGAAGGGGAACAGCAGAAACUCUCAGGCAAAAGGAUCGGGC